UUGAGUUCAAGAGUACGUGAGACCGUCUGGGAGUAAACGGGUGGUUCCCGAAAGUGCGAAAGGGGAGAUUCAGGUCUCGCCGCGCGCCGGGCCGCGCCCGCGACUAGGGAUGGCGUUCUCGCGGCCGUGGGGCGACCCUCGGUCCGGGAGGGCGACCCUCGGUCCGGGAGCGCCACCCCGCGGGCGCGGUCGAACCCGGCGCCGGAGUGACGCACUUCUCCCCCGGUAGAACGUCGCGAUCCGUCGGCCGCCGGCCUAAGGUCCCGGGAGGAGCCUCUCUUUUUCGCCGCGGGAGACCCCGGGGACCCCGGCCGGGUGCCCGACGGCACGAAGAGAGGAAGGAGUCGGCGCGCCCUCUUUUUCGCGGGCGUCCGCCCCUCCGCAAGCGCCCGCGGGAGUCGGAGGUUCCACCGGGCCCGGCCCGGCCUCCUUCUUUCCGCGGGGCUGUUUGCGACGAGCGAGAGUGUGCUCGGAC
rnacentral:rRNA from 1 species